rnacentral:rRNA from 1 species
ACUACGGGUGGCAGCAGUGAGGAAUAUUGGUCAAUGGGCGCGAGCCUGAACCAGCCAAGUAGCGUGAAGGAUGACUGCCCUACGGGUUGUAAACUUCUUUUAUAAAGGAAUAAAGUGAGGCACGUGUGCCUUUUUGUGUGUACUUUAUGAAUAAGGAUCGGCUAACUCCGUUCCAGCAGCCGCGGUAAUACGGGGGAUCCGAGCGUUAUCCGGAUUUAUUGGGUUUAAAGGGAGCGUAGAUGGGUUGUUACGUCAGUUGUGAAAGUGUGCGGCUCAACCGUAAAAUUGCAAUUGAUACUGGCAGUCUUGAGUACAGUUGAGGUAGGCGGAAUUCGUGGUGUAGCGGUGAAAUGCUUAGAUAUCACGAAGAACUCCGAUUGCGAAGGCAGCUUACUAAACUGCCACUGACAUUGAUGCUCGAAAGUGUGGGUAUCAAACAGGAUUAGAUACCCCGGUAGUC